UGGAUGUGGAGGAAACUCAGGAGAAAGAGAACAUAGCAGAGCAGCAGCUUGAAGCGGAGUUUGAGCAGGCUUCCACUUGUGGCUCCGAAGAAAAGGUCUUUAAGAGAUCUAAGAAGAAUAAGAAGCAGAAGAAAGCCAAAGAGUUGAAGGCUGACUUGUUGUGGAGUGCGACCUCUGAAGAUCUAAAUAACUUGGAGCCAGAGCAUGUGCUAAAGGUGGAGGAAACUCAGGAGAAAGAGAUUAUAGCAGAGCAGCAGCUUGAAGCGGAGUUUGAGCAGGCUUCCACUUGUGGCUCCGAAGAAAAGGUCCUUAAGAGAUCUAAGAAGAAUAAGAAGCAGAAGAAAGCCAAAGAGUCGAAGGCUGACUUGUUGUGGAGUGCAACCUCUGAAGAUCUAAAUAACUUAGAGCCAGAGCCUGUGG